rnacentral:tRNA from 1 species
GGCGCUUUGGCGGAGUGGUUAACGCGACAGCCUGCUAAGCUGUUUCCUUCGGGAGCGUGUGUUCGAAUCACACAGGCGUCG